UGUAACACCCGAAGCCGGUGGAGUAACCUUUUAGGAACUAGCCGUCGAAGGUGGGACAAAUGAUUGGGGUGAAGUCGUAACAAGGUAGCCGUAUCGGAAGGUGCGGCUGGAUCACCUCCUUUCUAAGGA
rnacentral:rRNA from 1 species